rnacentral:rRNA from 1 species
GGCGGUCUGUUAGUUGGAUGUGAAUCCCCGGGCUUAACCUGGGAACUGCAUUCAAAACUGACAGGCUAGAGU